AGAGUUUGAUCAUGGCUCAGGAUGAACGCUGGCGGCGUGCCUAACACAUGCAAGUCGGACGCUCCGCAAGGAGAGUGGCGCACGGGUGAGUAACACGUAGCUAACCUGCCCCGAAGAGCGGGAUAACGUUCCGAAAGGAAAGCUAAGACCGCCUAAGCUCACACGCAGUAGAGGCGUGCGAGAAAAAGGGAAACCUGCUUUGGGAGGGGGCUGCGACCCAUCAGGUAGAUGGUGCGGUAACGGCGCACCAUGCCGACGACGGGUAGGGGACCUGAGAGGGUGAACCCCCACACUGGGACUGAGACACGGCCCAGACUCCUACGGGAGGCAGCAGUGAGGGAUAUUGCACAAUGGGCGCAAGCCUGAUGCAGCGACGCCGCGUGGGUGAUGAAGGUUUUCGGAUCGUAAAACCCUUUUCUGCAUGACGAGCAAGGACGGUAGUGCAGGAAGAAGUGUCGGCUAACUACGUGCCAGCAGCCGCGGUAAUUC
rnacentral:rRNA from 1 species